rnacentral:tRNA from 1 species
GCCGCGGUGGCGGAACUGGCAGACGCGCCACGUUCAGGGCGUGGUGGAUAUCAGAUCCACGAGGGUUCAAAUCCCUCCCGCGGCACCU